rnacentral:rRNA from 1 species
GCUUAGACUGCAAGUCGAACGAGGGGGGCUUGCCCCCCUAGUGGCGCACGGGUGAGUAAUGCGUAACUGACCUACCCCGAAGUCCGGGAUAACUGGGCGAAAGUUCAGCUAAUACCGGAUACCCAGAUGACUUUUGAGUCAUCUGGAAAGGUUUACUGCUUUGGGAUGGGGUUACGUUCCAUCAGCUUGUUGGUAGGGUAAAGGCCUACCAAGGCGACGACGGAUAGCCGGCCUGAGAGGGUGGCCGGCCACAGGGGCACUGAGACACGGGUCCCACUCCUACGGGAGGCAGCAGUUAGGAAUCUUCCACAAUGGGCGCAAGCCUGAUGGAGCGACGCCGCGUGAGGGAUGAAGGUUUUCGGAUCGUAAACCUCUGAAUCUGGGACGAAAGGCCCGCAAGGGAGAUGACGGUACCAGAGUAAUAGCACCGGCUAACUCCGUGCCAGCAGCCGCGGUAAUACGGAGGGUGCAAGCGUUACCCGGAAUCACUGGGCGUAAAGGGCGUGUAGGCGGUCCAAUAAGUCUGGCUUUAAAGACUGAGGCUCAACCUCAGGGAUGGGCUGGAGACUGUUGGACUAGACCUCUGGAGAGGAACUCGGAAUUUCUGGUGUAGCGGUGGAAUGCAUAGAUACCAGAAGGAACACCGAUGGCGAAGGCAGAGUUCUGGACAGAAGGUGACGCUGAGGCGCGAAAGUGUGGGGAGCGAACCGGAUU